UCCACUUGGCCUCACAGGAACUGAAGGACAGCAUAAAGAGUUGUGAGGUGCAGUUGUGGGGUUUGUUGGGGAGGCGUCUGUGGUCCUGGUUCCCCUAUUUUUGCUCUGGCAUAGCUGAUACUGAGGCAAGGCCCAGCAUACCAAGGAAUUAAAAGUGAAAAUCUUUGGAGAAGAAGAACCACUCUGACAAACAGGCUUUCUUCUCACAGCAUGAUGAGAGAACCACAGGGAAUGCCACAGCUGGCCUCUGUCCUGCCCCCAGUGACACUUUUCCAGAAGAGAGCAAUGUGAGUGCCCAGGGAUGCAGAAUUGUCAACUAUGGAAAAGAAAGAAGCACCACAGUCCUCCCUAACCUAAAGGAGAAAGCAGUAGAGAAGUAGGCUGUCAAAUCAUGAAGAUUGUUAUUAAAAACAUUGUGCUCACUGGAAGCAAGCUGAGGGGUUGGGCAGUCAGAGAGAGAUCCUCAGCCCACUGCUAACCCUACGAAGCCAUGGGAGCUGUGUUGGCUUGUUUGGGGUUGGUAUUCUCAAAUCCAGUAAAACGAGUUGCUUCUCCCCUACGUAUCUCACUGUAAUCAGUUCUGGUGAAACAUCAGAAGGCAGCAUUCAGAAUUGUGAUCAAAUUGAAUAAUUUAAUAUCUUUGAGCAUGUUUACUGAGCCUCACCUCUUCCAUUUUAUGCACAGCACAUUGGCUGUAGGCUUCUCUCACAAUUACAGUAAUUUAUUAUGCAAUAUCUGUAGCAGAUGCUGAGCUUGAUUCUAUUGUUGUCUGCCUUUUGGUUGUUUUUUUGAAUUUUUAGCUAUUGGAGCAUGUCAGGAGCAUAGGUUUUGUCUGUUCAAUCCAUGUUCCCACCCCAUGCCUGUAACUGUGGUAUCUCCAGCAUAAUACCACCUGUCCUGAAAGGGAGGGCUAUGGCUGCUAAAUUCAA